GCUCCCAUGGCGUAGCGGUCACUGCGCUCGCCUUGCACGCGGGAGACCCGGGUUCGAUUGCCGGCGGGGUCA
rfam:Asian citrus Psyllid, Diaphorina citri - Florida Strain, whole genome shotgun sequence.